rnacentral:rRNA from 1 species
UGGGGAAUAUUGCACAAUGGGGGAAACCCUGAUGCAGCCAUGCCGCGUGUGUGAAGAAGGCCUUAGGGUUGUAAAGCACUUUCAGUGGGGAGGAAAGGUUGGCAGCUAAUACCUGUCGGCUGUGACGUUACCCACAGAAGAUGCACCGGCUAACUCCGUGCCAGCAGCCGCGGUAAUACGUAGAAGGCAAACGUUAUUCGGAUUUACUGGGCGUAAAGCGGGUGCAGAUGGCUUUUUAAGUCGGGUGUGAAAUCUCCUGACUCAAUCAGGAGAGGUCAUUCGAUACUGAGGAGCUUGAGGGCAGCAGAGGAAGGCGGAAUUCCCGGUGUAGCGGUGAAAUGCGUAGAUAUCGGGAGGAAUACCAGUGGCGAAGGCGGCCUUCUGGGCUGUACCUGACGUU